CACCAUUGCCUUGGGCAAAGGCGAGUCUCUUAACAGUUUGCUGGAUAGUGGCUUGAUGAAGAUCAGUGAUGAGAUUUUUCUGCCAAAAAUAUAUUAUUACAAAACGCCAGAUGCUCUUGUUUUGAAGUGACCGGAAGAAGCGGCAACAUGGCGGCGGCAAACCCGGGAAGUUCUUCGCCCAUGGCGGGAGACUCAGGGGUUGGCAAAAGUGCAGCAGGAGGUCUGGCAGUUAACAUCAUGAAGCCUGAGUUCCUCUGGGAAAGCUGCUGCAGCAGGGGGUAUGUUCAACACUAUUACCCAGCCAGGAAAUGCUGCACACACAGUGCAUAAUCACAAAGACUUCAGUCAGACGCAAAGAUAAUUGUAAAUCUGUCCAACUGCCACAGCUAGCUUUUAUGAUAGUGAUUAAUGUGCUUGGUCUGAAAAACAUAUCAGAAAUUUGUCUGCUAAGGAGGUGGCACGCGGCUGGCAUACAUGCAACAACAAGCCUAUAAUGCAGAAUUAUACUCAAUACCUUGUAUUGCUGGAAUAAAAACAAAUUUACUAGAAUAUUUAGAUUUUAUGUUCUUACAGUGACAUUACAACGAUUUACAUGUUCCUCUGUAUCUGGAGAAGCCUACUCAGAUUUAAGAAACAGCCCUUUAGGAUAUUACCAGGGUUAUCUUAUCUUUACUAUAUUAUUUUUAACCCCAUGAAUGCAACAAAAAGGAUGCCAUGCUUUUCUGGAUAGGCUUUUAUCAUUUUUGUGUUUUUUUUUUCCUUACUCAUUUGGUGGAGCACUAUUUAUAGGAAGGCUUUCCAUAUUACUUACCUGUUAAUAAGGUUCCUACACAUUAUACUUUUCAAAAUUAUGGUUUUCUGCAUAACUUUACUUAGAAUUAUUAGUACACAUUCUCACAGGGGGCAUAGUUUAGAUAUGUAACUUCCAAAAACCAGGUGGGACGGACGGACGGACGGAGGGAGGGAGGGAGGGAGGGAGGGAUGGAGGGAGGGAGGGACGGAUGGAUGGAUGGAUGGAUGGAUGGAUGGAUGGCACAAGCCUGUGUAGGAAAUAUAUGCAAGCCAAAACUACAGACUUAAUGCUGUUCAAUCAUUAUUCAAGGGUAAAUUGACAUCACUUAAACACAGAAUGUACAGCUGCUCUUGACUUCUGUUCAUUCAACUGACGCACAUAACGAUUAUAAACCUAACUGUGGGCAUCAUUUAAGAAAUGGAGGCUAAAAAACAAAGAGCUACAGUCAGUUUUCAAGUGAUGCAGCUCAUUAAUGAAAGAUCAGAGGGCUUAAGUACAGGGGGGUGCAAUUCAAGUGGUUAAUUAGCUAUCAAAAUGUAUUUUUGUUUUGCUUGUUUGACAGUUUAAGGCCAUUCUAUUCUCCUAACAUUGUAGUAUUUUGUCAAAAUGAUGUGUUGAAACACAUGAUAAUGUACAAUACAUAAAACAUUUAUUCAUUGACUAAAACUAUCACAUAUAAAAAGACUUAA